rnacentral:rRNA from 1 species
CCCUACGGGGGGCAGCAGUGGGGAAUAUUGCACAAUGGGGGAAACCCUGAUGCAGCGACGCCGCGUGAAGGAAGAAGUAUUUCGGUAUGUAAACUUCUAUCAGCAGGGAAGAAAAUGACGGUACCUGACUAAGAAGCCCCGGCUAACUACGUGCCAGCAGCCGCGGUAAUACGUAGGGGGCGAGCGUUAUCCGGAAUUACUGGGUGUAAAGGGAGCGUAGACGGCGAGGUAAGCCUGAAGUGGAAGCCCGCGGCCCAACCGCGGAACUGCUUUGGGAACUGUUUUGCUGGAGUAUGGGAGGGGUA